rnacentral:rRNA from 1 species
UACGGAGGGUGCAAGCGUUAUUCGGAAUCACUGGGCGUAAAGGACGCGUAGGCGGGUUGGCAAGUCAGAUGUGAAAUCCUACAGCUUAACUGUAGAACUGCAUUUGAAACUGCUAACCUAGAGUAUGGGAGGGGGAGAUGGAAUUAGUGGUGUAGGGGUAAAAUCCGUAGAUAUCACUAGGAAUACCGAAAGCGAAGGCGAUCUCCUGGAACAUAACUGACGCUAAGGCGUGAAAGCGUGGGGAGCAAACAGGAUUAGAAACCCCUGUAGUCC